GACGGAGGGUGCAAGCGUUGCUCGGAAUCACUGGGCGUAAAGGGUGCGUAGGCGGUCUCGCAAGUCUGGCGUGAAAGCCCAAGGCUCAGCCUUGGAAGUGCGCUCGAAACGGCGAGGCUGGAGUGCCGGAGGGGAGAGUGGAAUUCCCGGUGCAGCGGUGAAAUGCGCAGAUAUCAGGAGGAACACCGAUGGCGAAGGCAGGUCUCUGGGCCACUACUGACGCUGAGAAGCGAAAGCAUGGGGAGCGAACAGG
rnacentral:rRNA from 1 species